rfam:Metarhizium acridum CQMa 102 unplaced genomic scaffold Scf_004, whole genome shotgun sequence.
AGCAAUUUGGCGCAGUGGAAGCGCGCCGGGCUCAUAACCCGGAGGUCGUACGAUCGAAACGUACAAUUGCUA